rnacentral:rRNA from 1 species
GAUGAACGCUGGCGGCGUGCCUAAUACAUGCAAGUCGAGCGAACUGAUUAGAAGCUUGCUUCUAUGACGUUAGCGGCGGACGGGUGAGUAACACGUGGGCAACCUGCCUGUAAGACUGGGAUAACUUCGGGAAACCGAAGCUAAUACCGGAUAGGAUCUUCUCCUUCAUGGGAGACGAUUGAAAGAUGGUUUCGGCUAUCACUUACAGAUGGGCCCGCGGUGCAUUAGCUAGUUGGUGAGGUAACGGCUCACCAAGGCAACGAUGCAUAGCCGACCUGAGAGGGUGAUCGGCCACACUGGGACUGAGACACGGCCCAGACUCCUACGGGAGGCAGCAGUAGGGAAUCUUCCGCAAUGGACGAAAGUCUGACGGAGCAACGCCGCGUGAGUGAUGAAGGCUUUCGGGUCGUAAAACUCUGUUGUUAGGGAAGAACAAGUACAAGAGUAACUGCUUGUACCUUGACGGUACCUAACCAGAAAGCCACGGCUAACUACGUGCCAGCCGCCGCGGUAAGAC